GCUCAUGGCUUUCACUGGUAUUGGUUUAUUUCUGUCUGGACUCAUAGGAUUCAUCUGUCUGUGCCGCUUUACCAGUUCUGCUGAUGUUCUCACAGAACUGAACUACAUCUCCUGCCAGAUGGAAACAACAUCUCUUUUAACUUCCUCUGUGUGCUCCUCAAAACAUGAAUGACUUGUUUACUUUCUUCACUUGUUGCCUUUAAACACAAAAAAUGAUAUGUACAGAAAGAUAAUACAGUAUUUAGCUACUGAAUUUAUAUACUGAUCAGCAGACCACACAGAAUCUGUGGAGCUUUUUUUCCCCACAUUUUGAUUUUGGGAGAAAAUAGAUUUUUUUUUAUGGGUAAAAUGUGUUAAAUGUAGGUGAAAGUCAUCUGUGGAGUUAAGAUGCAGAUUCAUUACAAGAUCAGAGAUCGGUACAGAUCUGAGGCUUAAGAAAUAUAAAAUCUAAUUUAUGUCAUUUUUUUGUAUUUUAUUUUUUUAUCAACAAUUGUAACAUAUACAUGUACAAGAGUACAUGUAUAAUAAAGUUGCAGCAUGGUAUAAACAAUUUCAUAAAAUUUGCAUAAUGCCUUUAAUUUGUAAUAUUUUCAGUUUCAGUUGUCUGAUCAAAGAGCAACUGACCGCUUGACAUUGUCUGCAUGUUUUAUGCAUUAAUGAGCAAACGUGUACCUAAUAAAGAGACUACAAGGUGAA